rnacentral:rRNA from 1 species
GACGAACCGUGCGAACGUUGUUCGGAAUCACUGGGCUUAAAGGGCGAGUAGGCGGGUCAGCAAGUCCGGGGUGAAAUCUUUCGGCUCAACCGGAAAAGUGCCUCGGAUACUGCUGGUCUUGAGGGAGGUAGGGGUUUGUGGAACUUCUGGUGGAGCGGUGAAAUGCGUUGAUAUCAGAAGGAACGCCGGUGGCGAAAGCGACGAACUGGACCUCUUCUGACGCUGAGGCGCGAAAGCUAGGGGAGCAAACGGG